rnacentral:misc_RNA from 1 species
GAUGAAGAACGUAGCGAAAUGCGAUAAGUAGUGUGAAUUGCAGAAUUCAGUGAAUCAUCGAAUCUUUGAACGCACAUUGCGCCCCUUGGUAUUCCAUGGGGCAUGCCUGUUCGAGCGUCAUUUGUACCUUCAAGCUCUGCUUGGUGUUGGGUGUUUGUCUCGCCUCUGCGUGUAGACUCGCCUCAAAACAAUUGGCAGCCGGCGUAUUGAUUUCGGAGCGCAGUACAUCUCGCGCUUUGCACUCAUAACGACGACGUCCAAAAGUACAUUUUUACACUCUUGACCUCGGAUCAGGUAGGGAUACCCGCUGAACUUAAGCUUAUCAAUAAGCGGAGGA